GGGUCAGUAGGUUGGUCGUGCCACCGGUACGUACUGGUCUCACUGAUUCCUCCCUCCUGAAGAACCGUAAUGCCAUUAAUUUGGUGUUGCGGGGAAACAGGACUGUCACUUUGAAAAAAUUAGAGUGUUUAAAGCAAGCUAACGCUUGAAUACAUUAGCAUGGAAUAAUGAAAUAGGACGAUCGAUCCUAUUUUGUUGGUUUCUAGGAUUGACGUA
rnacentral:rRNA from 1 species